UCGGGAAUUUUGGGCAAUGGGCGAAAGCCUGACCCAGCAACGCCGCGUGAAGGAUGAAGCCUUUCGGGCUGUAAACUUCGUACGAAUAGGAAGAAUAAAUGACGGUACUAUUUGCAAGGUCCGGCUAACUACUUGCCAGCAGCCGCGGUAAUACGUAGGGACCAAGCGUUGUUCGGAUUUACUGGGCGUAAAGGGCGCGUAGGCGGCAAUUCAAGUCAGUUGUGAAAUCUCCGAGCUUAACUCGGAACGGUCAACUGAUACUGUUUUGCUAGAGUACAGAAGGGGCAAUCGGAGUUCUUGGUGUAGCGGUGAAAUGCGUAGAUAUCAAGAGGAACACCUGAGGUGAAGACGGGUUGCUGGGCUGAUACUGACGCUGAGGCGCGAAAGCUAGGGUAGCAAAC
rnacentral:rRNA from 1 species